rnacentral:rRNA from 1 species
UACGUAGGUGGCAAGCGUUGUCCGGAUUCAUUGGGUUUAAAGGGUGCGUAGGCGGAACGAUAAGUCAGUGGUGAAAUCCUGUAGCUUAACUACAGAACUGCCAUUGAUACUGUCGAUCUUGAGUAUAUUUGAUGUGGGCGGAAUGUGUCAUGUAGCGGUGAAAUGCUUAGAUAUGACACAGAACAUCGAUUGCGAAGGCAGCUCACAAAACUAUAACUGACGCUGAGGCACGAAAGCGUGGGGAUCAAACAGG